GCAUUCGGUGGGGCUUUUGUAUCUCGCUGGCGCCAGAGCUUGGGAUCGGUCUCUGCUGUUCUUCAUCCUCCACCUUGGGAGCCCCCGGUGACUGUCACAAUCUCUGUUGCCCUGUUAUCUGCAGGUUCUGGGAGACGCACAGUUAAGAUACCAGGACAUCAUGGAAGAUGGGAAAAGAUGGAGUUUCACUCUUGUUGCCCAGGCCGGAGUGCAGUAUCCCAAUCUCGGCUCACUGCACCUCUGCAUCCCAGGUUCUGCCGACAAAGGAGAUUAUGACAUAUUGCUGGGCCUAACACUAAGGUGAUGUUACAGCUUUGGCUGUGCCCUUGGAAGGCAUUGAGACAUACUGCUGUGCCCAGCACCAAGAUGAUGUAAUGUGACUCUUCUCUUCUGCUUAAGGCCUGCCAAAAGAAAAGAUUGUGACAGAUCACCGGACCCAGCACCUAGGUAGGAUUGUGACAUAUAUCUGGCCAAGCAUGCAGAUGUAAUGGUAACUGUCAUACCUUGCAGAAGCCAAUAGGAGAGAGAAUGUUGCCCUCAGCUAGGCUGAGGAAAAUGAGGAAGUCCUCCUGUACAAAAGUCAUAAAGAAUUAGUACUCUCUCACAUCUAUAAAGCCCUAGUGUGUACAGAGAAUGUCAUAACAGGGUGCAGCACACAACUGAGAUUGUAUUUGUCCUAUGCACACCACACCAACCUUUACAGUUGUCACCCUGAUCCAUUGACAGAGUCCACUAGUGAGGUCCUGAAUCACAUGUGAACACAGUCCACAGUUGGAAUCGUGACUGUUAUAUGUGAACAUCUGGCUACAGCUGGGAUGGUGACUGAUUUCUAAAUCCAGCUCAUAGGAAGGUGAAGAUUCUCCUAUCUGGACUCAAUUAGAGAGACGUUGACUCUCAUAUCUGGGCUUAGAACCACAGGAAAGAUUCUGGAGCUCCUUCUUGUGCAAAGGUCACAGAGGAUUACCAAUCUUGCAUAUUGUAUAAAGUCCUCAGGUGACACAGAGAGUGUCUGUCCAAUGCACACCCGGGCAACAGUAAGGAUUGUCAUUCUCCCAUGUAAACACAUCCCACUGUUGAAGUUCUGAAUUUCACAGAGGCUGUCAAAAGUUGGAUAAUUGCCUCUCGUGUGGAUCUGGUCCACAGGUGGGUUAGUGACUUCUAGACCAAGAGUCACCACACGUGUAAGUCUGUGACCGCACUAAGAAGAUACAGUCUGCAGAAGAAACUGUGGCUCUUUUGCACACAUUCUGUCGAUCAUUGAGAUUGCGACUCAUGUACUUAGACCCAACAUACGGGAGGUGUUGACUUUCAUACCUUUAGAACCUGGACAUGUUUGGAAUUUCUAAUCUAAUCCCUGGACUUGCCUGCAGGUGUGAUUGUAUGCAUCUGCAGGGCACCUUAGUGAUCAGACUCUCCUGCGUUGGCCAGGCCCACAAAUGAGAUUGUGACAUAUGGUUUGACUCUGGACCUCCAAGAUGUGACUUUUUUCCAGCCUUGGAGCUGUCCACAGGGUGCAUUGUGACAUAUUCCUAAGCCCUGCACUCAGGUUAUGUGACUCUCCUUUUUUGCUUAGGCCUGAAUAUUUUUCAUGUUAAGACAUAUUGCUAGGUCCAACACCUAUAAAAUGGGAGACUGCCACCUGGGCCCUUUCUACAGAGGGCCUUGUGACAGACCGCUGCAUCAGUAACCUGGGAGAUGUGACUCUCCAUUUUUACCUGUACUCGUCCCACAGAAAAAACUGGCUGGCCCAGGUACCAGGUGAUAUGUGUCUGCUGCCUGGGCCUGGACCACAGAGGGCAUUGUUACUGAUUGCUGGGCUCAGCACCCAGGUGAUGUGAUUCUGCUGCCUGUGUGCUGCUUUCAGGAGAAGGUUGUAACUUAUUCCUGGCUGAGUAUUCAGGUGAUGUCACACUUCUGACUGGUCUCUGCCCUCAGAAAAGGUUGUGUCAAGCCAGGCCUGGUGGCUCAUGCCAGUAAUACCCAGCACUUUGGGAAACCGAGGUGGGUGGAUCGCCUGAGGAGUUUGAGACCAGCUGGCCGACAUGGUGAAACCCCGUCUCUACUAAAAAUACAAAAAUCAGCCGGGUGUGGUGGCAGCCGCCUGUAAUCUCAGCUAUUCGGGAGCCUGAGGCAGGAGAAUUGCUUGAACCCAGGAGGGGGAGGUUGCAGUGAGCCAAGAUCAUGCCACUGCACUCCAGCCUGGGCAGCAGAGCAAGACUCUGUCUCGGGGAGAAAAAAAAAAAAUUACAAAAAUUAGCUGGGCAUGGUGGCAUGUUCCUGUAGUCCCAGCUACUUGGGAGACUGAGGCACAAGAAUCAUGUACUUGAACCUAGGAGGCGGAGGUUGCAGUCAGCUGAGACUGUGCCAUUGCACUCCAGCCUGGGCAACAAGAGCGAAACUCCAUCUCAAAAAAAAAAAAAAAAAAGGUUGCGUCAUAUUCCUGGCUAAAAACCCAGAUGAUGCGACUCUCCUCUCUCCCUAUUCACAGGCAGGAUUGUAAUAUACAUUUUUUUUUUUGAGACAGUUUCAUUCUGUCCCCCAGGCUGGAGUGCAAUGGCAUGAUCUUGGCUCACUGAAACCUCCACUUCCUGGGUUCAAGCAAUUCUCCUGCCUCAGCCUCCUCAGUAGCUAGGAAUACAGGCGUGAGCCACCACACCUGGCUGAUUUUUGUAUUUCUAGUAGAGACAGGGUUUCCCAAUGUUGGUGAGGCUGGUCUCAAACUCUUGAGCUCAGGUGAUGCACCUGUCUCGACCUCCCAAAGUGCUGGGAUUACAGGUGUGAGCAACUGCGCCUGGCCUGUAAAAUAUAUCUUGACCUAGAUCACAGAUGCAAUGAUUACUCUCAUACCUCACACUAUCUAAUAGGAGAGAUGCUGUCUCUCUCUCUUUUUUUUUUUUUGGAGACAGUUUCGUUCUUGUUGCCCAGGCUAGACUGCAAUGGCGUGAUCUCCGCCCACUGCAACCUCUGCCUCCCAGGUCUAAGCGAUUCUCUUGCCUCAGCCUCCCAAGUAGCUGAGAUUACAGGCAUGUGCCACCAUACCCAGCUAAUUUUGUAUUUUUAGUAGAGAUGGGGUUUCUCCAUGUUGGUCACGCUGGUCUCAAACUCCCAACCUCAGGUGAUCUGCCCACCUCAGCUUCCCAAAGUGCUGGGAUUACAGGCAUGAGCCACUGCACCCAGCCCAACCAAGAUGCUGUCUCUUACAGCUAGGCCUAGAGUCAUGAAUAGGAUUCUGGGUCUCCUUGUACAAAGGUCAUAACGAAUUACCACUUUCUUGCAUACUAUAUAAAUCUCUUGUGGUGCAGAGAGUGUCAUUACAGGGUUCAGCAUACAGGUGAGAUUGUGGUUCUCAUAUACACUCCCGGCCAACUGUUAGAAUUGUCACCCUCACACGUAGACAGAGCCCACUGGUGAGGCCCUGAAUCUCACACACAUACACAGUCUACAGUUAAAAUUGUGACUGUCAUAUGUGAACAUCUGGCUAGAGUUGAAAUAGUGAUUUAUUUCUAAAUCCAGUUCAUAGGUGAGAAUUCUACCUGUCUAAGCCCAGGUAGGAUAGUCAACAUGUCCCUAAUUGGCUGGGGGACAUGUUGACUCUCCUACCUGGGCUUAGGGCCAAACAGUUCAUGGAAGGGAUGAAGGCUCUCAGCUCUCAUGCACAGAUUCAGUUGGUGAGAUUGUCACUAGCACACUUAGACCCAACAUACAGAAUGUGGUGACUCACAUGUCUAGAACUGGGACAUGUGCAGGAUUUUUAAUUACUGGACCUUCUUGCAGGUGUGAUUGUGACAUAUGUCUUUGUUAUGCACUGGAGUGCUUUGAUGCUUCUGUCUUGGUUCAGCCCGAAGUGAAGAUUGUGAUGUAUCACUGAACCCAGCAUCUCGGUGAUGUGACUUUUGUUUUUGGACACCACAAAUUUUGGGUAUUGUCAAAUAUUGCUGGAUCGUGUACCUAUGUUAUGUGACUCUCCAACCUGUGUCCUGCAUGUUGUGCCAUAUUGCAGCACAAUGUUUCACAUUAGACAUCAUUACAUAUUGCUGGGCUCAACACCCAGGUGAUGGAACGUUAUUUUCCUGGGCCCUGACUACAGGGGGCUUUGUGACAUAACUGAAUGCCCAUAACCAUGGUGAUGUUACUCUUCUCCUGCCUGGUCUCUGCUCACAGGGAAAUUGUGACAUACCAUUGGCUUAGCAUCUUGGUGAUGUGACUCUCCUCUUUUUUCUCAGGCCCCACAUAUUUGGGUAUUGUGACAUACUCAGAUGUGACACUGGGCUCAACACCUAAGGGAUGGGGAGUCCCCUACCUGGCUCCUUCCUCCAGGGGGCAUUGCGAUAUACCUCUGCACAGGUAUGUCACAGUUAUUACGUAGGAGAUGUGACUCUCCUCUUCUGCCUGCACCCUGCCUACAGUGAAAAUUGUGGCACAUUUCUGUGGCCAGCAACCAGGUGAUGUGUUUCUCCUGCCUGGAUCUUUAUUACAGAAAAGAUGGUUGACAUAUCACUAGGCCCAGCAUCUAGGUGAUGUGACUCUCUUCUGCCUGGUCCCUGCUUACAGGAACAUUGUAGCAUAUUGCUAUGCCCAGCACUUUUCUCUUCUUUUAGGUUUUGCCUGCAGGAGACUUUGUGACAUUGCUGGGCCCUGCACUGACAUUAUGUGACUCUUCUGUCUCUGUUUUGCCUACUUGGGCCACUGUGACAUAUUGCUGGGUCCAACAUCCAGGUGAUGUAACUUUUAUGCCUGGGUCCUGGCAUCUGAGGACAUUGUCUUUGCACCAAUCACACAGGUGAUGUGAUUUUCUUCUGUUACCUGGUCUGUGCACACAGGAAAAAUUGUGACCUUGGCCAGGCGCAGUGACUCACGCCUGUAAUCACAGCACUUUGGGAGGCCGAGGUGAGUAGAUACCUGAGGUCAGGAGUUCAAGACCAGCGUGGCCAACAUGGUGAAACGCUGUCUUAAAACACAAAAAUUAGCUGGGCAUGGCGGCAGGCACCUGUAGUUCUAGCUACACAGGAGGCUGAGGCAGGGGAAUCGCUUGAACCGGGGAGGUGGAGAUUGCAGUGAGCCGAGAUGGCACCACUGCACUCCAGCCUGGGUGACAGAGCGAGACUCCAUCUCAAAAAAAAAAGAUUGUGACCUUUUGCAGCACAUAGCUGAUUUGACUGUGCUUUGUGGAGUACACCAAGCAGGUUGUCAAACUGAUAGUCCCUUUACUGAAAUUUUAUUUCCACGAUGGUGUUGGAGGGGCAGCAGCAGAAUCUAUGCCUUUUCUCCUAAAGUGUGCGAGAGUCUGUGGUCCUGAGUAUCUCACACAGAUGUGGCAAUUUAUGUGAUGUUCUAAUUAAGACCAUUGGUACAGAAACAGAUUCAGACGUCUUCUCGGAAAUAAUGCAUUGUUUAGCAAAGUGCAUUGAAGUAAUGGGAGACGGAUGCCUUAGUAAUGAACACUUUGAAGAACACCUUUGCCACAUGUCCUCAGGACCUUCUGAGGGCUGUGUCAUGGGGCAUGGUCACUCAUAUUUGACUCUGAAUAAAUUUCUUCAAAUAUUUUAAA